GACGAACGCUGGCGGCGUGCUUAACACAUGCAAGUCGAACGGAAAGGCCCUGCCUUUGUGGGGUGCUCGAGGGGCGAACGGGUGAGUAACACGUGAGUAACCUGCCCCUGACUUUGGGAUAACUUCAGGAAACUGGGGCUAAUACCGGAUAGGAGCUCCUGCUGCAUGGUGGGGGUGGGAAAGUUUCGGCGGUUGGGGAUGGACUCGCGGCUUAUCAGCUUGUUGGUUGGGUAGUGGCUUACCAAGGCUUUGACGGGUAGCCGGCCUGCUCGGGUGACCGGCCACAUUGGGCCUGGACUACGACCCGGACUCCUCCGGGAGGCAGCAGUGCGGAAUAUUGCACAAUGGGCGGAGGCCUAGUGCGGCACCGCCGCGUCCGGGGUGACGGCAUUCGGGUUGUAAUCCGCUUUCGCCUGUGCCGAAGCGUUAGUGACGGUACUGGGUAAAGAAGCACCGGCUAACUACGUG
rnacentral:rRNA from 1 species